rnacentral:rRNA from 1 species
CGGAGGAUCCAAGCGUUAUCCGGAAUCAUUGGGUUUAAAGGGUCCGUAGGCGGUUUAGUAAGUCAGUGGUGAAAGCCCAUCGCUCAACGGUGGAACGGCCAUUGAUACUGCUAGACUUGAAUUAUUAGGAAGUAACUAGAAUAUGUAGUGUAGCAGUGAAAUGCUUAGAGAUUACAUGGAAUACCAAUUGCGAAGGCAGGUUACUACUAAUGGAUUGACGCUGAUGGACGAAAGCGUGGGUAGCGAACAGGAUUAGAUACCCUGGUAGUCCACGCCGUAAACGAUGGAUACUAGCUGUUGGGAGCAAUCUCAGUGGCUAAGCGAAAGUGAUAAGUAUCCCACCUGGGGAGUACGGGCGCAAGCCUG